ACACAUGCAAGUCGAACGAGAGAGAAGGAGCUUGCUUCUUCGAUCGAGUGGCGAACGGGUGAGUAACGCGUGAGGAACCUGGCUCAAAGAGGGGGACAACAGUUGGAAACGACUGCUAAUACCGCAUAAGCCCACGGGUCGGCAUCGACCUGAGGGAAAAGGAGCAAUCCGCUUUGAGAUGGCCUCGCGUCCGAUUAGCUAGUUGGUGAGGUAACGGCCCACCAAGGCGACGAUCGGUAGCCGGACUGAGAGGUUGAACGGCCACAUUGGGACUGAGACACGGCCCAGACUCCUACGGGAGGCAGCAGUGGGGAAUAUUGCACAAUGGGGGAAACCCUGAUGCAGCGACGCCGCGUGGAGGAAGAAGGUCUUCGGAUUGUAAACUCCUGUUGUUGAGGAAGAUAAUGACGGUACUCAACAAGGAAGUGACGGCUAACUACGUGCCAGCAGCCGCGGUAAAACGUAGGUCACAAGCGUUGUCCGGAAUUACUGGGUGUAAAGGGAGCGCAGGCGGGAAGACAAGUUGGAAGUGAAAUCUAUGGGCUCAACCCAUAAACUGCUUUCAAAACUGUUUUUCUUGAGUAGUGCAGAGGUAGGCGGAAUUCCCGGUGUAGCGGUGGAAUGCGUAGAUAUCGGGAGGAACACCAGUGGCGAAGGCGGCCUACUGGGCACCAACUGACGCUGAGGCUCGAAAGUGUGGGUAGCAAACAGGAUUAGAUACCCUGGUAGUCCACACCGUAAACGAUGAUUACUAGGUGUUGGAGGAUUGACCCCUUCAGUGCCGCAGUUAACACAAUAAGUAAUCCACCUGGGGAGUACGACCGCAAGGUUGAAACUCAAAGGAAUUGACGGGGGCCCGCACAAGCAGUGGAGUAUGUGGUUUAAUUCGACGCAACGCGAAGAA
rnacentral:rRNA from 1 species